CCCCCACCCCCCUACCCCCGGUGGUGCCAUAUUGACCUGACCGCUCUAGGAGAGAGGAGCAUGGAUUCUUCUGACAGCUUGCUUCUUUCAUGUGGCUAGCUGGCAGUGUGCAAAGCCAAUCGGCUCAUCCUACAGUCUGUUUUUAAUCACCAUCGUCUCCACACUGUGUCACUUGAGUCUACAGAGUGAUUUCUGGAGGACGCGGAAGCGGGAUGUAUGAAGCUGGGUGGGGUUGGUGGGAGUAUGAUCAUCUCCGCGCAUCCCACCCCAGCCACACUAUCCUUCCUGCUGCUCCCAGACAAGGCCUCUUAAGAGUUAUCUCCUAAAGAACAUGCCUAAAGCAGGCUUUGCCUCCUAGUUAUCAAUCAUCGGAUAAAGAUAUUGAUUAGCAAUA